UCAUAUGCUGACUUGCACUAUGGGGCUAUUAGUGGAGGAAUUGUGAGCAACACUUUGUGACCACCUGUUCCUGUGAAUUGUGACCCAGAGUGGAGAGAUGCUGGGCUGCAGACCCACUACAGAGGCCGAACUUCACAGAAAUCGCCAACGAGUUGCGCGUUAUGGCUGCCAAAAUUUCAGCUAAGGGGCAAACACCAGUUACAACUACAAGAACAAACACCUAGUUGGUUUUAAUUUUCUUGGCUCUCAUUCAAUUAAUGUCUAGUUGGAGUAUGUAUAUGGCCUAUGCUAAUUUGGCAUCAUAGUCUUAUGGAUAUCAUAUGGAUAGUUGCUCAUUUGUCAAAUGAGCAAACAAUUCUUUGUUCAUUUUAUCAAAUGAGUAAAUAAUUCUUUGUUCA